rnacentral:snRNA from 1 species
AUGCUCACUUUGGCAGCACAUACACUAAAACUUGAACAAUACAGAGAAGAAUAGCAUGGCCCCUGCGCAAGGAUGACAUGCAAAUUAGUGAAGCAUUCCAUAUUUUG